rnacentral:miRNA from 1 species
UUUUGGAACGGAGAGAGUAUA